GAAACGGUAGCUCAAAGGAAGAGCACUGGCCUUCUAGGUCAGGGGUUACGGGUUCGAAUCCCGCCCGUUUCA
rnacentral:tRNA from 1 species